rnacentral:rRNA from 1 species
AGGGUUUGAUUAUGGCUCAGGAUGAACGCUAGCGGCAGGCUUAACACAUGCAAGUCGAACGGUAACAGAAAAAGCUUGCUUUUUGCUGACGAGUGGCGAACGGGUGCGUAACGCGUAUGCAACCUACCUUCUUCUAAGGAAUAGCCCAGAGAAAUUUGGAUUAAUACCUUAUGACAAUAUUUAUUCGCAUGUUUAAAUAUUUAAAACUCCGGUGGAAGAAGAUGGGCAUGCGUAACAUUAGUUUGUUGGUGAGGUAAUGGCUCACCAAGACUACGAUGUUUAGGGGGUCUGAGAGGAUGAUCCCCCACACUGGUACUGAGACACGGACCAGACUCCUACGGGAGGCAGCAGUGAGGAAUAUUGGUCAAUGGACGAAAGUCUGAACCAGCCAUGCCGCGUGAAGGAUGGCGGCCCUACGGGUUGUAAACUUCUUUUGUAUAGGAAGAAACCCCUCUACGUGUAGAGGGUUGACGGUACUAUUCGAAUAAGCACCGGCUAACUCCGUGCCAGCAGCCGCGGUAAUAC